UAAUUGACCGAUUUUAAAUUU
ensembl:piRNA 21ur-9943 ncRNA